rnacentral:rRNA from 1 species
CCCUUAGAUGUCCUGGGCCGCACGCGCGCUACACUGAUGCAUUCAACGAGUUUUACCUUGGCCGAGAGGCCUGGGCAAUCUUUUAAACCUGCAUCGUGAUAGGGAUAGAUUAUUGCAAUUAUUAAUCUUGAACGAGGAAUUCCUAGUAAACGCAGAUCAUCAAUCUGCAUUGAUUACGUCCCUGCCCUUUGUACACACCGCCCGUCGCACCUACCGAUUGAAUGGUCCGGUGAAGCCUCGGGAUUGUGGCCAGUUCACUUUAUUGGGAGUUGGCUGCGAGAACUUGUCUACACCUUAUCAUUUAGAGGAAGGUGAAGUCGUAACA